UACAGAGGGUGCAAGCGUUGUUCGGAAUUAUUGGGCGUAAAGGGCGCGUAGGCGGUGCGGUAAGUCUGUAGUGAAAUCUCUGGGCUCAACUCAGAGUCUGCUGCAGAAACUGCCGUGCUUGAGUGUGGGAGAGGUGAGUGGAAUUCCGGUGUAGCGGUGAAAUGCGUAGAUAUCGGGAGGAACACCUGUGGCGAAAGCGCUCACUGGACCACAACUGACGCUGAGGCGCGAAAGCUAGGGAGCAACAGG
rnacentral:rRNA from 1 species